rnacentral:lncRNA from 1 species
CUUACAACUCUAAAAUACCAGAGAAUGAAUUCAAUACCUAUUCUAUCUAAGCAUUCUGGCAAAGAUAUUCACCGAAAACUCCAUAAUGUGGUGAUAUACUGGAAAACUCCUCUGCAAGGACGUUUCUCAAGGGGGGUAAAAAAGGAAGAAAGAAAAGGUAGAAAAUGAACCAGUCAUCUUGAAUAAAACAUCCACAGCUGGAGGGUGAUGACAAUUGAAAAUGAAGCUUCAGGCAUAUUCCCUCAGGAGCUGCCAGGAAAAGAAUUCUCAUUAUCAAAUAGUUGUGAUAUGUUCCCUUCUUUGUUUCACC